rnacentral:rRNA from 1 species
GCAGUGGGGAAUAUUGCACAAUGGGCGCAAGCCUGAUGCAGCGACGCCGCGUGGGGGAUGACGGCCUUCGGGUUGUAAACCUCUUUCAGUAGGGACGAAGCGCAAGUGACGGUACCUACAGAAGAAGGACCGGCCAACUACGUGCCAGCAGCCGCGGUAAUACGUAGGGUCCGAGCGUUGUCCGGAAUUACUGGGCGUAAAGAGCUCGUAGGUGGUUUGUCGCGUUGUUCGUGAAAACCGGGGGCUUAACCCUCGGCGUGCGGGCGAUACGGGCAGACUUGAGUACUGCAGGGGAGACUGGAAUUCCUGGUGUAGCGGUGGAAUGCGCAGAUAUCAGGAGGAACACCGGUGGCGAAGGCGGGUCUCUGGGCAGUAACUGACGCUGAGGAGCGAAAGCGUGGGGAGCGAACAGGAUUAGAUACCCUGGUAGUCCACGCCGUAAACGGUGGGUACUAGGUGUGGGUUUCCUUCCUUGGGAUCCGUGCCGUAGCUAAC